AGUGAACGCUGGCGGCGUGCCUAAUACAUGCAAGUCGAACGAGUGGCGCACGGGUGAGUAAUACGUGGUAACUGCCCUCCUUUUUGGGAUAAGCCUUGGAAACGGGGUCUAAUACCGAAUAAAGGGGGAUGGCUCGCGGCCUAUCAGCUUGUUGGUGGGGUGAUGGCCUACCAAGGCGGUGACGGGUAGCCGGCCUGAGAGGAUGAUCAGCCACACUGGAACUGAGACACGGUCCAGACUCCUACGGGAGGCAGCAGUGGGGAAUAUUGCACAAUGGGGGAAACCCUGAUGCAGCCAUGCCGCGUGUGUGAAGAAGGCCUUCGGGUUGUAAAGCACUUUCAGCGAGGAGGCGUUCUCGCAGAAGAAGCACCGGCUAACUCCGUGCCAGCAGCCGCGGUAAUUC
rnacentral:rRNA from 1 species